GAAAUGCGAUAAGUAAUGUGAAUUGCAGAAUUCAGUUAAUCAUCGAAUCUUUGAACGCACAUUGCGCCCGCCAGCACUCUGGCGGGCAUGCCUGUUCGAGCGUCAUUUCAACCCUCAGAACCCCUUGCGGGAUCUGGCGUUGGGGAUUGGCAUCCAGCCAGCCCCGAAAUCUAGUGGCGGUCCCUCCGCGACCUCCCCUGUGCAGUAGCGAUACCUCGCAGCGGGACAGCGGUCUGACCACGCCGUAAAACCCCCAACUUCUCAAGGUUGACCUCGAAUCAGGUAGGAAUACCCGCUGAACUUAAGC
rnacentral:misc_RNA from 1 species